GAUGAACGCUGGCGGCGUGCCUAACACAUGCAAGUCGAACGGAGUCCAGCCUUUAAGGCCUUCGGGUCAAAGAGGGGAAGACUGAGUGGCGGACGGGUGAGUAACACGUGGGCAACCUGGCUCAUAGAGGGGGAUAACAGAGAGAAAUUUCUGCUAAUACCGCAUAAGCACACACUGCCGCAUGGCAGAGGGUGAAAAGAGAAUCGCUAUGAGAUGGACCCGCGUCUGAUUAGCCAGUUGGCAGGGUAAGAGCCUACCAAAGCGACGAUCAGUAGCCGAUCUGAGAGGAUGAGCGGCCACAUUGGGACUGAGACACGGCCCAAACUCCUACGGGAGGCAGCAGUGGGGGAUAUUGCACAAUGGGGGGAACCCUGAUGCAGCGACGCCGCGUGAGUGAAGAAGUAUUUCGGUAUGUAAAGCUCUAUCAGCAGGGAAGAUAAUGACAGUACCUGAAGAAGAAGCCCCGGCUAACUACGUG
rnacentral:rRNA from 1 species